CGAAUGCUGACAUAAGUAACGAUAAAGCGGGUGAAAAGCCCGCUCGCCGGAAGACCAAGGGUUCCUGUCCAACGUUAAUCGGGGCAGGGUGAGUCGACCCCUAAGGCGAGGCCGAAAGGCGUAGUCGAUGGGAAACAGGUUAAUAUUCCUGUACUUGGUGUUACUGCGAAGGGGGGACGGAGAAGGCUAUGUUGGCCGGGCGACGGUUGUCCCGGUUUAAGCGUGUAGGCUGGUUUUCCAGGCAAAUCCGGAAAAUCAAGGCUGAGGCGUGAUGACGAGGCACUACGGUGCUGAAGCAACAAAUGCCCUGCUUCCAGGAAAAGCCUCUAAGCAUCAGGUAACAUCAAAUCGUACCCCAAACCGACACAGGUGGUCAGGUAGAGAAUACCAAGGCGCUUGAGAGAACUCGGGUGAAGGAACUAGGCAAAAUGGUGCCGUAACUUCGGGAGAAGGCACGCUGAUAUGUAGGUGAAGUCCCUCGCGGAUGGAGCUGAAAUCAGUCGAAGAUACCAGCUGGCUGCAACUGUUUAUUAAAAACACAGCACUGUGCAAACACGAAAGUGGACGUAUACGGUGUGACGCCUGCCCGGUGCCGGAAGGUUAAUUGAUGGGGUUAGCGCAAGCGAAGCUCUUGAUCGAAGCCCCGGUAAACGGCGGCCGUAACUAUAACGGUCCUAAGGUAGCGAAAUUCCUUGUCGGGUAAGUUCCGACCUGCACGAAUGGCGUAAUGAUGGCCAGGCUGUCUCCACCCGAGACUCAGUGAAAUUGAACUCGCUGUGAAGAUGCAGUGUACCCGCGGCAAGACGGAAAGACCCCGUGAACCUUUACUAUAGCUUGACACUGAACAUUGAGCCUUGAUGUGUAGGAUAGGUGGGAGGCUUAGAAGUGUGGACGCCAGUCUGCAUGGAGCCGACCUUGAAAUACCACCCUUUAAUGUUUGAUGUUCUAACGUUGACCCGUAAUCCGGGUUGCGGACAGUGUCUGGUGGGUAGUUUGACUGGGGCGGUCUCCUCCUAAAGAGUAACGGAGGAGCACGAAGGUUGGCUAAUCCUGGUCGGACAUCAGGAGGUUAGUGCAAUGGCAUAAGCCAGCUUGACUGCGAGCGUGACGGCGCGAGCAGGUGCGAAAGCAGGUCAUAGUGAUCCGGUGGUUCUGAAUGGAAGGGCCAUCGCUCAACGGAUAAAAGGUACUCCGGGGAUAACAGGCUGAUACCGCCCAAGAGUUCAUAUCGACGGCGGUGUUUGGCACCUCGAUGUCGGCUCAUCACAUCCUGGGGCUGAAGUAGGUCCCAAGGGUAUGGCUGUUCGCCAUUUAAAGUGGUACGCGAGCUGGGUUUAGAACGUCGUGAGACAGUUCGGUCCCUAUCUGCCGUGGGCGCUGGAGAACUGAGGGGGGCUGCUCCUAGUACGAGAGGACCGGAGUGGACGCAUCACUGGUGUUCGGGUUGUCAUGCCAAUGGCACUGCCCGGUAGCUAAAUGCGGAAGAGAUAAGUGCUGAAAGCAUCUAAGCACGAAACUUGCCCCGAGAUGAGUUCUCCCUGACUCCUUGAGAGUCCUGAAGGAACGUUGAAGACGACGACGUUGAUAGGCCGGGUGUGUAAGCGCAGCGAUGCGUUGAGCUAACCGGUACUAAUGAACCGUGAGGCUUAACCUUACAACGCCGAAG
rnacentral:rRNA from 1 species